AAAGAGAUAGCCGAAAAGCUCACCCCAUGGGGCCAGGCAGAGAGGCAAAAUCUACUGGAUGAGAACCGCUGACUGACACAAGCCAAAGCUAGCUGCACUGAAUGGAGGGUGUGUGUGGCUCUGAAGUGACAUUCUGAACAGCUGAGGUGGAGUGUGGCUCACAGCGCCUCUGCUACCCCAGAAGCCGGAAGGGAGGAAACCACGAAGGUAGGGAGCCAUCAGUGAAUAACCAGAGUAUGAAGAAGCAAUAAGAGUACCUCAUUAUACUCCACUGGCUUGGAGGGAUUUUAUAGAAUCAAGCCUAUCCCUCUUCCUUUGACACCUGAUUUUGAUAAAUGAUCAUCACAUCGGAGAGUUGGCUGCAAGACGGUACCCCCAAACUCCCCAAGCAUUCGUCUGGGAGGAAGAAGUUCCCUUCCUCAUUUCUAUCCCCCGAAAGCCGUUUGUCUGAGCCCUCUAGGGCCGGCAGCCAUCGCCCAGGGUAGCAGAGCUGGGUGAGAAGUCCUUUUUCAGGCAAGACAUUAAAAGGAGUAGGCUGAGCAGAUCUAAAACCCCUGGUCAACAGGGCGGGGCCAGCCCCAGGGCAGAAGUAUUACUUCACGGUUGCAUGGCUUCCUGUAGCUGCCAAUAGAGGCAGCAUCUGGCAGCCAGCCCACCGCAGAGAAGAGGGAACUCCGCAGAGAAGAAACCAGCAACGAGGCCCCAAAGGUGGAAGUACAGCCUGAGAAACUUGCGCCCGCCUGGGACUGCGCCCGCCUCGCCUCUCACUCUGCAGAGCGAGGCCCGCGUACCCCUCCGGCUUCCCGAGACUGACACGCCUCCUACGACAGAGAAACGGAAGCUCAAGGAGGUGAAAUAACUUGCCCCAGGACACACAAGCAGGCAGCAGGGGAGCCCGGAUUCAACCCCCCUCUGUGGCCAUCCCCGGAGCCCAGACUAUGACAGCUGCAACUUCAGCUUUCAAGUGAAAAUCAAGAUGAUGAGGUAAAGAGAUCUUUCUGGAAUCAGGACAGAGUGAAGAAGAGUAGGACUAGAAGAUACCUUCUGUGAGGGCCCGGCACAUGGUCAACUGAGAAAUAAGACAAAGGACAAUCGUGGAGGGUUCAAAGUAUCCCCUCUAUGAAGUCGAUGUGGAAACUUGGAUUUAUGUGAAGCAAGAGGCCCCCUUGCACUGAACCUGUUAGGCUGCCUUACCUAUUCAGAGCACUGGACCACCAAGGGCCUCGCCACCCUCACCCCAUAGGGUAGACCUGCUCCUGGAGCAAAUCAAAGUGUGCAGUCUCUACAGGCAGAUUGAAACUCAAAGAAAAAAUGAGAGAAAGAAGAUGUGCCCUGGCAGGCUCCUUUCAUCUCCCAUUCAGGUGAAUUACUCCAUCUCCCUAAAGGCAGAGUGUAAGUGGGGCAAAGGCCCAGAGUAUUUGGGGAAAACCAGCAAGCAGCAUUCCAAGCAUUUGCCACCUAAGGAACUGUCUAUGCAGAACGGGUUGAACAGGGAUCCUCACUCCCUCUGCCCCCACCUCAAGAAUUCCAGGGUCCCUGUGUGAAGAGCCCAGGCUGGAAACCAGCUGCCUAGUUGUGAAUCCUGGCUCUACCACUUACUAGUUCUGUUUCCUCCAGCAAGUUACUUACGCUUCCUGGACCUCCAUCUGGUCCUCUAUAAAAUGCAAGAAUUGACAGGGUGGCUGUGAGCAUUCGAUGAAAUGUCUAUGACACGCCCCAAACAGGAAGGGGUAAGAGCAGAACAAGUGAAGUUAUUAUUACUGGUGAGUUUCUUAUAAAAGCUAUAGGCUCCUUAGAGUAAAAGGUGGCAUAAAAUACCAUGCCGCUCAAGAACUGCAAGUCAAUUAUCUAAUAAAUCUCCCGCAAACCCAAAGCAAAAAUUAAUUAUAGUCAACUCCUGAUCAUACUUGUGAUCUCAGGACCAUGAAAACGAUCUCUCAGUGACAUUACCUCCUGCCCCAACUUCCCUCUUCAUUCUGUUAAACUGAAGUCUCUUUGAUUCCUUCCAAAUUGAAUUACACGCAACUUUCUUGUCUUAGUCCUUUUAAAUUACAGCCCUCUCUUAUAGACAUCUGUAAGGAGCCUGUCAAAGAAAAAACUCCUAUGAGAUUUUGUAUAUUCUCAGGUCCAGAGCCUUGGCUGAGGUUGGCAGAGAUAAAAGGCCAGUGUUGGUUUGGGGUUUGUGACAGAAGUGUGACUCGUGGUUGUGCUAAAAGAGAGUGGUCAGUUAGCUGCCCAAGCCAAGAAGGAUUCCUGGGCACCAGUUAUACAUUAUGAGCGCUGUGGGUAUGCAGGGAAGGAAAGCUGAGGAAGAUUCUAAAUUGGAAGAGACUGGAAAUAUUUUACAGAAGUCUCAAAUUUGUGUGGUGGGUGCUCUGGUCAGGAUAAAGACCACAAAUCUGACUGCAUAGAUCUCUUCUCCUAAAACAGAGAAGCGUAAGAUUGUGGUUAUGUGUAGUUUUGGAGUCGAACAGACCAGGGUUUAAGUCCAAUUUUUAGCCACUUCUUGUUACAUGACCUUGAGUAACUCAAAUGUCAUGUCCCCAUGUAUAAAACUGAGAUAACAGCACCCACCUUGGGAGACUAUGAAGAGAAUUAAAUAAAGCAAUGUGUAUAAAAUUCUCAGUACAAGACCCUGCACAUAUCUGUUUCCACUAAAUUAAAGUUGUUAAUACUAUUAUAGCUAUUAUAUACUACUACUAUUCUAGAAAAAACAAAUAAGGGGCUAAUAGCCAAAAUAUAUAAAGAACUCAUACAACUCAAUGACAAAGAGACAAUCAAUUUAAAAAUGGGCAGGGAAACUAAAUAAACUUUUUUCCCAAAUAAGACAUCCAAAUGCCCUAUAGAUGCUUGAAAAAAUGUUCGCCAUCACUAAUAUUCAGGAAAAUGUAAAUCAAAACCGGCCUGAGAGAUCAUGUACACCUAUUAGAAUGGCUAUCAUCAAGAAGACAAGAGAUAACAAGAGUUGGUGAGGAUGUAGAGAAAAAGGAAGCCUUGUGCACAGUUUGUGGGAAUGAAACUCGGUACAGCCACUGUGGAAAACAGUAUGGUGGAGGUUCCUCAAAAAAUUAAAAACAGAACUACUAUGCG